rnacentral:rRNA from 1 species
GAUGAACGCUGGCGGCGUGCCUAAUACAUGCAAGUCGAGCGAACGGACGAGAAGCUUGCUUCUCUGAUGUUAGCGGCGGACGGGGGAGUAACAAGUGGAUAACCUACCUAUAAGACUGGGAUAAAUUCGGGAAACCGUAGCUAAUACCGGAUAAUAUUUUGAACCGCAUGGUUCAAAAGUGAAAGACGGUCUUGCUGUCACUUAUAGAUGGAUCCGCGCUGCAUUAGCUAGUUGGUAAGGUAACGGCUUAACAAGGCAACGAUGCAUAGCCGACAUGAGAGGGUGAUCGGCCACACUGGAACUGAGACACGGUCCAGACUCCUACGGGAGGCAGCAGUAGGGAAUCUUCCGCGAUGGGCGAAAGCCUGACGGAGCAACGCCGCGUGAGUGAUGAAGGUCUUCGGAUCGUAAAACUCUGUUAUUAGGGAAGAACAUAUGUGUAAGUAACUGUGCACAUCUUGACGGUACCUAAUCAGAAAGCCACGGCUAACUACGUG